CUGAACUAUUAGCAUAUAGGGUGGAAUGAUAGGGUAACGCCUUGAAACGCCCUCACAAUCCCAUCGUGCUUACAUUAACGCAAAUUAAUGUGAAGUGACGCUAUCAUGGGUUAAAACGUGAAAUAUAUGGUGUAAAAGCUUCAAUUUAACUAUUUAACUUGAUAAACCACCAAAUUUGUCUAGAGGUAGACAAUGUAUAUGACAGCGCUAGUGCCGAUUGG
rnacentral:ncRNA from 1 species